UACAGAGGUCUCAAGCGUUGUUCGGAUUCAUUGGGCGUAAAGCGUGCGUAGACGGUUAUUUAAGUCGGGUGUGAAAGCCCCGGGCUCAACCUGGGAAUUGCAUUCGAGACUGAAUAGCUAGGGUACGGUAGAGGGAAGUGGAAUUUCCGGGUGUAGCGGUGAAAUGCGUAGAUAUCGGAAGGAACAUCAGUGGCGAAAGCGACUUCCUGGACCAGUACCGACGUUCAGGCACGAAAGCGUGGGGAGCAAACAGG
rnacentral:rRNA from 1 species